CAAGAAGCAGGAAGGAGAAGAAACCCUUCUCCUUCAUAAUACCUCAAGAAAUUCAAGGAUUUAAGGUGUUGUUGAUCCAGAAAUCGAAUGCAUGUGACCAAAUUCUCAACCAUCUAAGGGUUUCCUAUAUAGGAAUGAAAGAAGAAGGACCUAAUUCCGGUUCGCAACAAAAGGCUCAAGAACGAGGUCGGUUCGGGUUAGAAUGAGAAUGAACAAGUGAAGUUUUCUUAAUGUUCCAUGUAAACUGGUUAUGAUAGAAUGAGUUGGAGAGAAAGAUGUAACGAAGUUGGUUACAUAAACAAGAAAGUCGAGUAUAAGAAUGACUUAGUCAUGUAUGGUUCAAAAUUUAAAUGGUAAAUCUCAAGUUUAAAUUCUAUCGCAUAGCUCGGAACCGAACACACCUUGAACGCCUUUAAGCGCUUCCGCAAUCGUUGAUGUAUUAUCAAUGGGUCAAUAUUUUGGUUUAAUUAGGCUAUGUUGGUAGUUAUAAACUCUAAACUUGAAGUUGUAAAUCUUUUGUCAAAAACUAGUUGUAAUGGUCAUUUUGAAAGUUUCUAAAGUGCUAUGAA